CCCUUAGAUGUUCUGGGCCGCACGCGCGCUACACUGACGAAUGCAACGAGCUUAUAACCUUGGCCGAUAGGUCUGGGUAAUCUUUGAACGCUGUUCGUGAUUGGGAUAGACCUUUGCAAUUAUGGGUCUUCAACGAGGAAUUCCUAGUAAACGCAAGUCAUCAGCUUGCAUUGAUUACGUCCCUGCCCUUUGUACACACCGCCCGUCGCACCUACCGAUUGAAUGGUCCGGUGAAAUCUCGGGACGGCGGCUCGGUCGCUUGCGUCCGACUGCUGAAACUUGAUUAAACCAUAUCAUUUAGAGGAAGGUGAAGUCGUAACA
rnacentral:rRNA from 1 species